AAGUCGUAACAAGGUUUCCGUAGGUGAACCUGCGGAAGGAUCAUUAACACGUAUACUAUACGUAUUAAACUAAACGCGAAUUUGUUGUUAAGCCUGUUAUUGGAUUUGAGCUGUACCGUGCGGGAAUGGUGUGAUUGUAGCGUUAAAAACUACAGUCUAACUCACGGUCUUAUCGUACUCGAUACGAGGUUCAGUCCAGUAAUAGUAGAUGAAUUUCGGCUGCUUAUUAAGCCUGCACCUUGGCUUGCAGUCCGGGGUGAAAUUAUUACCUACCCAUUAUUUAUACUUAUUCUGAUGUAGUACGUUUAUACGAAUUCCUGAUUAACUUCAGUUGAGUUUGUAUCGAUGUCGUAUAUUACUAAUACGAAACAACUCUUAGCAACGGAUAUCUUGGUUCUCGUAACGAUGAAGAACGCAC
rnacentral:misc_RNA from 1 species